AUAGCGUAUAUUAAAGUUGUUGCAGUUAAAAAGCUCGUAGUUGAAUUUUGGGCCUGGCUGGGUGGUCUUGCCGCAAGGUAAGCACUGCUCUGGUCGGGUCUUUCCUUCUGGGGAACCAGUGUGCUCUUAAUUGAGUGCGUUGGGGAUCCAGGACUUUUACUUUGAAAAAAUUAGAGUGUUUAAAGCAGGCCUACGCUUGAAUACAUUAGCAUGGAAUAAUAGAAUAGGACUUUGGUUCUAUUUUGUUGGUUUCUAGGACCGAAGUAAUGAUUAAUAGGGAUAGUUGGGGGCAUUAGUAUUUAAUUGUCAGAGGUGAAAUUCUUGGAUUUAUGAAAGACUAACUUCUG
rnacentral:rRNA from 1 species